UGACCCUUCUUAAGCCGAGGGUCACCUAGCCAACUGACGUUGUUAGUGAAUAAUUUUUGUUCACAUUAUAUAUAAGCCAAUUGCCCUUUUGCGAUUGGCUAUUUUUUU
rnacentral:sRNA from 1 species